GUGUUCCGGUAACGGGGGAAAGGUGGAGCAAUCCAUGAGUAGAGUGGCAAACGGGUGAGUAACGUUUUGGGCGACCUACCUCGAAGUGGGGGAUAACCUUCCGAAAGGAGGGCUAAUACCGCAUGACAUCCCGUGUUUGGAUACACGGACAUCAAAGCCGGGGAUCGCAAGACCUGGCGCUUGGAGAGGGGCCCGCGUCCGAUUAGCUAGUUGGUGAGGUAACGGCUCACCAAGGCUCCGAUCGGUAUCCGGCCUGAGAGGGCGGACGGACACACUGGAACUGAGACACGGUCCAAACUCCUACGGGAGGCAGCAGUGGGGAAUUGUUCGCAAUGGGCGCAAGCCUAGCGGGGGCAACGCCGCGUGGAGGAUGAAGACUUUCGGGUCGUAAACUCCUUUCGACCGAGAUGAAUGUCCUUCGACCUAACACGUCGAAGGAGUGACAGUAUCGAGGGAAGAAGCCCCGGCUAACUCUGUGCCAGCAGCCGCGGUAAAUA
rnacentral:rRNA from 1 species